GCGGGCAUGGCGAAACUGGUAAACGCGCAGCACUAAGGAUGCUGUGGAUAAAAUCCUUGGGGGUUCAAUUCCCCCUGUCCGCACCA
rnacentral:tRNA from 1 species